rnacentral:rRNA from 1 species
AUUGAACGCUGGCGGCGUGCUUAACACAUGCAAGUCGUGCGGUAACAGGCGUAGCAAUACGUGCUGACGAGCGGCGAACGGGUGCGUAAUACAUGGGAAUCUGCCCUUUAGUGGGGAAUAACCCGGCGAAAGCCGGGCUAAUGCCGCAUAAGAUCUUCGGAUGAAAGCGGGGGAUCGUAAGACCUCGCGCUGAUGGAUGAGCCCAUGUCGGAUUAGCAGUUGGUGAGGUAACGGCUCACCAAGGCGACGAUCCGUAGCUGGUCUGAGAGGACGGCCAGCCACACUGGGACUGAGACACGGCCCAGACUCCUACGGGAGGCAGCAGUGGGGAAUAUUGGACAAUGGGGAAACCCUGAUCCAGCGACGCCGCGUGUGUGAAGAAGGCCU